AUAGGGCCCAUAUGGUCAACGCGGGUCAAAGUGCAGUAUCUGUUAUCAGCUUAAUAUUUGAUAGGGUUGUAUUUGGACUCAAGUUAUUAAACUUAUUUUUGCAAGAUGGCGGAGUGCUUGACGCCUGCUCCACAUCCGCCGUGGGUCGGCCAGGUAUUGCACUAUCUUCGAGAUCGGCCCAAAGUUU